ensembl:processed_transcript
CGUGGCGGGCUCAAAUGGCGGCGGCGCUGGGCACCUAGGCCGGCGGGGGCCAUGAGCGCCGCCCGGCCCCAGUUUAGCAUCGAUGAUGCCUUCGAGCUGACCCUGGAGGACGCGGGGCCUGGGCCCGAGUCCAGCGGGGUCGCCCGCUUCGGGCCGCUGCACUUCGAACGCCGGGCUCGGUUCGAGGUGGCUGAUGAAGACAAGCAGUCCCGGCUACGCUACCAGAACCUGGAAAAUGAUGAGGACGGAGCCCAGGCCUCUCCGGAGCCGGAUGGGGAAGUCAGCACCAGGGAUUCUGGGCACAUGUCUGUCCGCAGCUCGCAGUGGUCCUUCAGCACCAUCAGCAGCAGCACUCAGCGCUCCUACAACGCCUGCUGCAGGUGUCUCCAGUGCCAUCUUCUUUGUGCCGGGCAUCCUGCUGUUAGUCCCAGGAGUCUACCAUGUGAUCUUCAUCUACUGUGCUGUCAAGGGCCGCCGGGGCUUCCAAUUCUUCUACCUGCCCUACUUUGAGAAGUGAGCUGCAACUGGCCAGUGGCUCACCAGUGAUCCAAGGCCUCAGGUCACCUCCACGUGUCCACAGGGUAUUCCUCCAACCUACACCUGGUUCUGUUCCUUUCAUCUGGAAGGCAGAGACCCCCUAGGACCCUCACAACCACCAGGCCCCUUUGAAUUUGCUCAGGAAGUUUGGAGCAGGCCAGCCUGAGGAUAUUGCCUCUUACCUGAUGUGUGCCUUAACUUAUUCCUAGGUUCUGGACUCCUGGGUUGGUGUAAUUUUGUGCUAAUAAAAGAGUAAUUACUUCC